AGCAGCCGCGGUAAUUCCAGCUCCAAUAGCGUAUAUUAAAGUUGUUGCAGUUAAAAAGCUCGUAGUUGAAUUUCGAGAUCGGCUUACUGGUCGUACUUUUGUACGUACUGGUAAAUCGGUUUCUCCUUUCUGACGAACUUUAAUGCCAUUAAUUUGGUGUUUUAGGGAAUCAGGACUGUUACUUUGAAAAAUUAGAGUGUUUAAAGCAGGUUCACGCUUGAAUACAUUAGCAUGGAAUAACGGAAUAGGACGUUUGAUUCUAUUUUGUUGGUUUCUAGGAUCGACGUAAUGAUUAAUAGGGAUAGUUGGGGGCAUUAGUAUUCAAUUGUCAGAGGUGAAAUUCUUGGAUUUAUUGAAGACUAACUACUGCGAAAGCAUUUGCCAAGGAUGUUUUCAUUAAUCAAGAACGAAAGUUAGGGGAUCGAAGACGAUCAGAUACCGUCGUAGUCUUAACCAUAAACUAUGCCGACUAGGGAUCGGAUGAUGUUAAUUUUUAAU
rnacentral:sRNA from 1 species